rnacentral:snoRNA from 1 species
AAGACUCUACUUUCAGGGAUCAUUUCUUUAGUCUGGAACUAGAGGAUUGUGUUUCUACAGAGGUUGGUCUGGCUGUCCAUGAUGAUGAAUGAAGAUGUUUCCUUCAGAGCAGGAAGCUGGUGAGAAGAUGAGAAUCUUCUUCACUGAUGAAGACUGUUCAGAGUUUCUGGAUGUGACACUGAAGGAGGAAACAUUGUCUGAGUGGA